rnacentral:rRNA from 1 species
GACGAACGCUGGCGGCGUGCUUAACACAUGCAAGUCGAACGGAGUGGCGAACGGGUGAGUAUUACGUGAGUAACCUGCCCUCAACUGUGGGAUAAGCCUGGGACACUGGGUCUAAUACUGCAUAGUUGGGGAUGGGCUCUCGGCCUAUCAGCUUGUUGGUGGGGUGAUGGCCUACCAAGGCGGUGCCGGGUAGCCGGCCUGGGAGGGUGUGUGGGCACAUUGGGACUGCGAUACGGCCAAGGCUCCUACGGGUGGCAGCAGUGGGGGAUAUUGCACAAUGGGGGCAAGCCUGAUGCAGCGACGCCGCGUGAGGGAUGAAGGCUUUCGGGUUGUAAACCUCUUGCGGUACAGAACGGGUAUGUGCAGAAGAAGCGCCGGCUAACUACGUGCCAGCAGCCGCGGUAAUUC